CCUACGGGCGGCAGCAGUGGGGAAUAUUGGACAAUGGGGGCAACCCUGAUCCAGCCAUGCCGCGUGUGUGAAGAAGGCCCUCGGGUUGUAAAGCACUUUCAGUGAGGAAGAACGCCUGGUGGUUAAUACCCAUCAGGAAAGACAUCACUCACAGAAGAAGCACCGGCUAACUCCGUGCCAGCAGCCGCGGUAAUACGGAGGGUGCGAGCGUUAAUCGGAAUUACUGGGCGUAAAGCGCGCGUAGGUGGCUUGAUAAGCCGGUUGUGAAAGCCCCGGGCUCAACCUGGGAACGGCAUCCGGAACUGUCAAGCUAGAGUGCAGGAGAGGAAAGUAGAAUUCCCGGUGUAGCGGUGAAAUGCGUAGAGAUCGGGAGGAAUACCAGUGGCGAAGGCGGCCUUCUGGACUGACACUGACACUGAGGUGCGAAAGCGUGGGUAGCAAACAGGAUUAGAUACCCUUGUAGUC
rnacentral:rRNA from 1 species